UACGAAGGGGGCUAGCGUUGCUCGGAAUCACUGGGCGUAAAGGGUGCGUAGGCGGGUCUUUAAGUCAGGGGUGAAAUCCUGGAGCUCAACUCCAGAACUGCCUUUGAUACUGAGGAUCUUGAGUUCGGGAGAGGUGAGUGGAACUGCGAGUGUAGAGGUGAAAUUCGUAGAUAUUCGCAAGAACACCAGUGGCGAAGGCGGCUCACUGGCCCGAUACUGACGCUGAGGUGCGAAAGCGUGGGGAUCAAACAGG
rnacentral:rRNA from 1 species